rnacentral:rRNA from 1 species
UGUAGCCUACGGGGGGCAGCAGUGAGGAAUAUUGGUCAAUGGGCGCGAGCCUGAACCAGCCAAGUCGCGUGAGGGAAGACGGUCCUAUGGAUUGUAAACCUCUUUUGUCGGGGAGCAAAAGACGCCACGCGUGGCGUUCCGGGAGUACCCGAAGAAAAAGCAUCGGCUAACUCCGUGCCAGCAGCCGCGGUAAUACGGAGGAUGCGAGCGUUAUCCGGAUUUAUUGGGUUUAAAGGGUGCGCAGGCGGAAGAUCAAGUCAGCGGUAAAAUGUCGGUGCUCAACACCGGCCUGCCGUUGAAACUGG